CAGUCGCCGCGGGAAUACGGAGGGGGCUAGCGUUGUUCGGAAUUACUGGGCGUAAAGCGCACGUAGGCGGCUUGGUAAGUUAGAGGUGAAAGCCUGGAGCUCAACUCCAGAAUUGCCUUUAAGACUGCCGAGCUAGCAGGUGAGAGAGGUAAGUGGAAUUCCGAGUGUAGAGGUGAAAUUCGUAGAUAUUCGGAAGAACACCAGUGGCGAAGGCGGCUUACUGGCUCAUACUGGACGCUGAGGUGCGAAAGCGUGGGGAGCAAACAGGAUUAGAUACCCCGGUAGUCCCUGUCUCUUAUCA
rnacentral:rRNA from 1 species